rnacentral:rRNA from 1 species
CCUACGGGCGGCUGCAGUGGGGAAUAUUGGACAAUGGGGGCAACCCUGAUCCAGCCAUGCCGCGUGUGUGAAGAAGGCCUUUUGGUUGUAAAGCACUUUAAGCGAGGAGGAGGGUACUCUAGCUAAUACCUAGAUGUAUCGGACGUUACUCGCAGAAUAAGCACCGGCUAACUCUGUGCCAGCAGCCGCGGUAAUACAGAGGGUGCGAGCGUUAAUCGGAAUUACUGGGCGUAAAGCGCGCGUAGGCGGUUUGUUAAGUCGGAUGUGAAAUCCCC